rnacentral:rRNA from 1 species
GUGGGGAAUAUUGGACAAUGGGCGAAAGCCUGAUCCAGCAAUGCCGCGUGAGUGAUGAAGGCCUUAGGGUUGUAAAGCUCUUUUACCCGGGAUGAUAAUGACAGUACCGGGAGAAUAAGCUCCGGCUAACUCCGUGCCAGCAGCCGCGGUAAUACGGAGGGAGCUAGCGUUGUUCGGAAUUACUGGGCGUAAAGCGCACGUAGGCGGCUUUGCAAGUUAGAGGUGAAAGCCCGGGGCUCAACUCCGGAAUUGCCUUUAAAACUGCAUCGCUUGAAUCCGGGAGAGGUGAGUGGAAUUCCGAGUGUAGAGGUGAAAUUCGUAGAUAUUCGGAAGAACACCAGUGGCGAAGGCGGCUCACUGGACCGGCAUUGACGCUGAGGUGCGAAAGCGUGGGGAGCAAACAGGAUUAGAAACCCGAGUAGUCC